rnacentral:rRNA from 1 species
UACGGGGGGGGUGCGAGCGUUGUCCGGAAUCACUGGGCGUAAAGGGCGCGUAGGUGGUUUGAUAAGGGUGUGGUGAAAGUCCGGGGGCUCAACCCCGGAUCUGCCGUGCCGACUGUCAAACUCGAGGACUGUAGAGGCAGACGGAAUUCCGGGUGUAGCGGUGGAAUGCGUAGAGAUCCGGAGGAAGACCGGUGGCGAAGGCGGUCUGC